AGAUUUACAUCAACAAAGAACUACUGUGUAUUAAUUAUAUUGGACCCUCCUACAUGCAUGUAGCUGUUAUAAGGGGUAGAAAAGUAUUAAUUGUUAACGUCUAUUUUCCAUCUGCUUUUUACAUAUACUGGUAAUCUUGUAUAUACAUAAAGAUGCAGAACACUAUGAAUUGAUAACCCAUCUGAUGUAACAACACUAACAAGCUGAUAUGCAGCACAUCACUGGAAGCCAACUAAACAGCAUUUCAAAACCUUUCACCUUUAGCACAGAGUUAGCCAUGCACUUCCCUUAAUCACUCAUUCAAAGUCACUUUUUUAAAGAUGAAAAAUAAAGUUUGUCGUUUUUAGGAUUAACUGAAGGUCAGACGCGGCUUACAUCUUCCCUUUCUCUAUUAUUUCCUAUCUCCAAAAUGUGAAUAUUUCCAUUAAGUAAUUCCAUAAUUAUAUUUUCAUGUAAUGAUACUUUCUUUAUUUAGAUAUAAAGUGUUUGAUUGAAAGUAUAUAAUAUGACUAUUUACAAGCAUUCAAAUGCAUUUUGCUUGCUAUUUUAAGGAACAUUCUAAAUAUUCUAGCUCUGACAAGA